rnacentral:rRNA from 1 species
UACGUAGGGGGCUAGCGUUGUCCGGAUUUAUUGGGCGUAAAGGGCUCGUAGGCGGUCUGUUGCGUCGGGAGUGAAAACUCAGGGCUUAACCCUGAGCCUGCUUCCGAUACGGGCAGACUAGAGGUAUGCAGGGGAGAACGGAAUUCCUGGUGUAGCGGUGAAAUGCGCAGAUAUCAGGAGGAACACCGGUGGCGAAGGCGGUUCUCUGGGCAUUCCCUGACGCUGAGGAGCGAAAGUGUGGGGAGCGAACAGG